ACGGGUGAGUAAUGUCUGGGGAUCUGCCCGAUAGAGGGGGAUAACCACUGGAAACGGUGGCUAAUACCGCAUAACGUCGCAAGACCAAAGAGGGGGACCUUCGGGCCUCUCACUAUCGGAUGAACCCAGAUGGGAUUAGCUAGUAGGCGGGGUAAUGGCCCACCUAGGCGACGAUCCCUAGCUGGUCUGAGAGGAUGACCAGCCACACUGGAACUGAGACACGGUCCAGACUCCUACGGGAGGCAGCAGUGGGGAAUAUUGCACAAUGGGCGCAAGCCUGAUGCAGCCAUGCCGCGUGUAUGAAGAAGGCCUUCGGGUUGUAAAGUACUUUCAGCGGGGAGGAAGGCGAUGUGGUUAAUAACCGCAUUGAUUGACGUUACCCGCAGAAGAAGCACCGGCUAACUCCGUGCCAGCAGCCGCGGUAAUACGGAGGGUGCAAGCGUUAAUCGGAAUUACUGGGCGUAAAGCGCACGCAGGCGGUCUGUUAAGUCAGAUGUGAAAUCCCCGGGCUUAACCUGGGAACUGCAUUUGAAACUGGCAGGCUUGAGUCUCGUAGAGGGGGGUAGAAUUCCAGGUGUAGC
rnacentral:rRNA from 1 species